UACGGGGGGGGCAAGCGUUGUUCGGAUUUACUGGGCGUAAAGGGCGCGUAGGCGGCCUGCUAAGUCGAACGUGAAAUCCCCGAGCUCAACUCGGGAACUGCGUCCGAUACUGGCAGGCUUGAAUCCGGGAGAGGGAUGCGGAAUUCCAGGUGUAGCGGUGAAAUGCGCAGAUAUCAGGAAGAACACCAAUGGCGAAGGCAGCUCUCUGGGACGGUACUGACGCUGAGACGCGAAAGCGUGGGGAGCGAACAGG
rnacentral:rRNA from 1 species